rnacentral:rRNA from 1 species
GACGAACGCUGGCGGCGUGCUUAACACAUGCAAGUCGAGCGGUAAGGCCCUUCGGGGUACACGAGCGGCGCACGGGUGAGUAACACGUGGGUGACCUACCCUCAGCUUCGGGAUAAGCCUGGGAAACCGGGCCUAAUACCGGAUAUGACCAUGGGACGCAUGUUCUGUGGUGGAAAGUUUUUCGGCUGGGGAUGGGCCCGCGGCCUAUCAGCUUGUUGGUGGGGUGAUGGCCUACCAAGGCGGUGACGGGUAGCCGGCCUGAGAGGGCGACCGGCCACACUGGGACUGAGACACGGCCCAGACUCCUACGGGAGGCAGCAGUGGGGAAUAUUGCGCAAUGGGCGGAAGCCUGACGCAGCGACGCCGCGUGGGGGAUGACGGCCUUCGGGUUGUAAACCUCUUUCGCCAGGGACGAAGCUUUGGUGACGGUACCUGGAGAAGAAGCACCGGCCAACUACGUGCCAGCAGCCGCAGUAAUAC